AGAGACCAAAAAAGUCAUCUUAGCUGAAAUUGGGGAUAAGAAAUUUGCUAUAAUCAUCGAUGAGGCCCGAGACACAUCUAUCAAGGAACAAAUGGCUUUGAUUUUGAGAUUUGUCAACAAUCAAGGCCAGGUGAUUGAGAGAUUUCUUGGAAUUGAACAUGUUACAGAUACAAGCUCAUCUUCACUUAAACAAGCUUUAGAUGGUAUGCUCUCUAAACAUAGUCUCUCUAUAAAAAACUUACAUGGGCAAGGAUAUGAUGGAGCAUCAAACAUGAGAGGAGAAUUCCAUGGGUUACAGAGAAAUAUAUUGGAUGAGAACCCCUAUGCCUUUUAUAUUCAUUAUUUUGCCCAUCAAUUACAAUUGGUAGUUGUGUCUGUGGCCAAGUGUUGCUCUUCAGUUAUGGAUUUCUUCAACUAUAUCAAUUUGAUUGUCAACAUAGUUAAUGUUUCUUGUAAGAGACAUGAUCAACUUGCCCAAUGUCACCAUGAUAAUCUUGUUCAAAGGCUAGAGAAUGAUGACAUGUUAAGGGGGAGAGGGAGAAACCAAGAAACUAAUUUAACAAGAGCUGGGGAUAGUAGAUGGGGAUCACAUCAUAAAACCUUAUGUCGUCUUCAACUCAUGUGGAGUGCUGUCUUAGAGGUGUUAGAGAAUGUAUGUCAAGAUGCCACUAAUCUAGCACAAAGAACCACAUCGACAGGUUUAUUAGAGAAAAUGGAGAGCUUUGAGUUUGUUCUUGUGUUACACCUCAUGAUCAAAGUUUUGGGUAAGACUAAUGACCAGUCACAAUUCUUGCAAAAGAAAGAUCAAAAUAUUAUUCGUGCCAUAGGAUUGGUUGGUGUCACAUUGCAAAAAUUAAAUGAGAUAAGACACCAUGGUUGGGAUGCUAUUUUUGAAGAGGCCAAGGAUUUUUGUCUCAAGCAUAAUAUUGUUGUCCCGGAUAUGUCAGCGGAAAUAGUUAGAAGAGGAUGUUCUAGAGGUCAUAGAGGAUAGUUGGUUACUAAUUAUGAGCAUCUUCAUCAUGAAAUAUUCAAUGUGGUGUUGGAUCAAGUUAUAGUUGAGUUUAACAAUCGUUUUGCUGAAAGGUCUACUCAACUCUUGAGAUGUGUUGCUUGUCUUGAUCCUAGUAAUUCUUUUGCCAACUAUGAUGAAGAUAAGCUUGUUGAACUUGCACAAAUUUAUGUUGAUGACUUCACAGAAUAUGAUUGUAUAGUUCUUAGAGACCAACUUGAUACAUUCAUUACCGAAGGAAGAGAAGAUUCAAGUUUCCUAUCAUGUUGUGAUCUUGGUAAUCUUGCUAUGAAGAUGGUUAAGACAGAUAGACAUACUGUAUUCCCAUUGGUUUAUCGUCUAAUUGAAUUGGCUUUGAUUUUGCCUGUUGCAACUGCAACUGUAGAAAGAGCAUUUUCAGCCAUGAAAAUCAUCAAGACAGAUUUGCGAAAUAAGAUGGGUGAUGAAUGGAUGAGUCAUUAUAUGAUUUGCUAUAUCGAGAGGGAUAUAUUUGCAAGUAUUGAAGAUCGUCAAAUUAUAGAGCAUUAUCAAGCCAUGAGAACACGAAGGGAGCAAAUACCAAAGACAAGAAAUAUUUCUAUUGUUGAUGAAAGCAACCUAAGUAAUUGAUGAAUUGGUCAUUGAGUCAAAGAUCUAUCAUUUUCUUAAUUAGG